GACGAACGCUGGCGGCGUGCCUAAUACAUGCAAGUAGAACGCUGAAGCGAGGAGCUUGCUCUUCUUGUGUGAGUUGCGAACGGGUGAGUAACGCGUAGGUAACCUGCCUUUUAGUGGGGGAUAACUACUGGAAACGAUAGCUAAUACCGCAUAACAAUUUGUGACACAUGUCAUUUAUUUGAAAGGCGCAAUUGCUCCACUACAAGAUGGACCUGCCUUUGAUUAGCCAGUAGGUGAGGUAAUGGCCUAACUAGGCGACGAUACAUAGCCGAACUGAGAGGGUGAUCCGCCAAAAUGGGAAUGGGAAUCCGCCCCGGACUCCUAGGGAAGGCAGAGUAGGGGAACUUUGGGAAUGGGGGCAAAGCUGAACGAGGAACGCCGCGUGAGGGGAGGAGGGUUUCGGGUCGUAAAGCUCUGUUGUAAGGGAAGGAAGGGAGUGAGAGUGGAAAGUUCACACUGUGACGGUAGCUUAUCAGAAAGGGACGGCUAACUACGUG
rnacentral:rRNA from 1 species